CCGUUCAACUCGUUCCUGCCCUGACAGGAACUACGGGAG
rfam:Nitratireductor pacificus pht-3B contig6, whole genome shotgun sequence.